CUACAGGUGGGUGGGUCGAGUAGACCAAGGCGCGCGAGAGAAACCUCUCUAAGGAACUCGGCACAUUAGCCCCGUAACUUCGGGAGAAGGGGUGCCUAUUUAAUAGGUCUCAGUAAAUUGCGUUUAGCGACUGUUUAACAAAAACACAGCACUCUGCUAAGUCGUCAAGACGACGUAUAGGGUGUGACACGUGACCAAUGCGGAAAGAUCAAGGCAACUUGUUAGCCGUAAGGCGAAGCUCGGAACCUAAGUCCCCGUGAAUGUCGGCCGUAACUAUAACGGUCCUAAGGUAGCGAAAUUCCUUGUCGGGUAAGUUCCGACCUGCACGAAUCGUGUAACGACUGAACGACUGUCUCGGAGAGGAUCUCGGCGAAACUGUAACGGCGGUGAAGAUGCCGCCUGCCCGCAGUAGGACGGAAAGACCCUAUGCACCUUUACUGUAAGCUCGUAUUGGGUUCUGAUUAAUAAUGCUUAGCGUAGGUGGGAGACUUUGAAGGCGUGGCUUCGGUUGCGCUGGAGUCGAAAUGUGAAACACCACUCUUUGUUAAUUAGGAUUCUAACCCCGAUUCCUGUGAAGCCAGGCGGGGGACAGUGCGUGCGGGUCAGUUUGACUGGGGCGGUUUCCUCCCAAAGAGUAACGUAGGAGCGCGAAGGUACUCUCAGUACGGUUUGCAACCGUGCGUCGAGCGUAUGGGUAGAAGAGUGCUUAACUGUGAGACCUACAAGUCGAGCAGGUACGAAAGUAGGCCCAAAUGAUCCGAUAGUUUAAUGUGGAAUUGCUAUCGCUCAACGGACAAAAGGUACGCUAGGGAUAACAGGCUGAUCGCUGCCAAGAGUUCAUAUCGACGCAGCGGUUUGGCACCUCGAUGUCGGCUCAUCGCAUCCUGGGGCUGGAGAAGGUCCCAAGGGUCCGGCUGUUCGCCGAUUAAAGCGGUACGCGAGCUGGGUUCAGAACGUCGUGAGACAGUUCGGUCCUUAUCCACUGUGGGCGAAGGAAACUUGAGGGGUUCAUUCUCUAGUACGAGAGGACCGAGAAUGACGCACUUCUGGUGUGGCAGUUAUUCCGUCAGGGGUAGCGCUGCGUAGCCAUGUGCGGAAGAGAUAAGCGCUGAAAGCAUCUAAGUGCCAAGCUCAUCCCAAGAUAAUGUUUCCCGGACGCAAGUCCCUAAAGACCCCAGCGAGACUAGCUGGUUGAUAGGUUAGGCGUGCAAGUGGAGUAAUCCAUUCAGCGGACUAAUACUAAUCGGUCGUGCGGCUUGAUCG
rnacentral:rRNA from 1 species